UACGUAGGGUGCAAGCGUUGUCCGGAAUUAUUGGGCGUAAAGAGCUCGUAGGCGGUUUGUUGCGUCGGAUGUGAAAUCCCGAGGCUCAACCUCGGGUCUGCAGUCGAUACGAGCAAACUAGAGUGUUGCAGGGGAGACUGGAAUUCCUGGUGUAGCGGUGGAAAUGCGCAGAUAUCAGGAGGAACACCGGUGGCGAAGGCGGGUCUCUGGGCCGAUACUGACGCUGAGGUGCGAAAGCGUGGGGAGCAAACAGG
rnacentral:rRNA from 1 species